GAGUUGGUAGCACAGUGGUAGAGUGCAUGCUUUGUAUGUAUGAUGUCCUGGGUUCAAACGUCCUUCCUGUGUG